AUUCCAGCUCCAAUAGCGUAUAUUAAAGUUGUUGCAGUUAAAAAGCUCGUAGUUGAACUUCUGUGUGUGCCCAGUUCUGGCUUCGGUCAAGCUGUGGUGCUCACAUCCGCUUGCAAACCUAGUCCGGCCUUCAUUGGUCGACUAGGGGAGUAGGCUUUUUACUUUGAAAAAAUUAGAGUGUUUCAAGCAGGCAAUGGCUCGAAUACAUUAGCAUGGAAUAAUGGAAUAGGACUUUUGUCCAUUUGGUUGGUUAUUGGACAUGAGUAAUGAUUAACAGGGACAGUUAGGGGCAUUAGUAUUUAAUUGUCAGAGGUGAAAUUCUUGGAUUUAUUAAAGACUAACUUAUGCGAAAGCAUUUGCCAAGGAUGUUUUCAUUA
rnacentral:rRNA from 1 species